rnacentral:rRNA from 1 species
UACGGGGGGGGCAAGCGUUGUUCGGAAUUAUUGGGCGUAAAGGGCUCGUAGGCGGCUAACUAAGUCAGACGUGAAAUCCCUCGGCUUAACCGGGGAACUGCGUCUGAUACUGGAUGGCUUGAGUGUGGGAGAGGAAUGCGGAAUUCCAGGUGUAGCGGUGAAAUGCGUAGAUAUCUGGAGGAACACCGGUGGCGAAGGCGGCAUCCUGGACCGAUACUGACGCUGAGGCGCGAAAGCUAGGGGAGCAAACAGG